CCAAAGCCUUUUCAACUUACUCCCUUUGUCAAACCUUAUAGCUUUUCACGGUUACAACUUAUGCUAUUCCCUUCUGUUACACGGAUUCAACUUCCUGCCUCCCACGUUUUGUUUCAUCAUUUCAGCUUCUGUUUUGGCUUCUAAUGGCAGCCUAUCUGUCUUCCUUCUUCUCCUUACAUCUAUAUAAAUACUGAUGUAAGCUGGGCGGUUCAAUUGAGGGGCGGCGGCAAGCUUCACACUUGGAGGCGAGGGAUGGAUAUCGAACCUGAUCGUAUAUCUGAUUCAGGUGUUCAAUUUGAAAAACAUAAAUGCUGCUCAGAUUUCAAACAUAGUGAGUGGUAGCACCAAUUUGCUUUCGGUCAUUGGAGCAAUUGUUGCUGACUCUUUCUUUGGUACUUUCUCUGUUGCUGCAGUUUCUGCCUGUAUCUCUUUGCUGGAGCUGGAUUAUGUGACCCAGACAAUGAACCAAACAUGUAUAAACCAAGGUAUGACAAUGAAGUGGGUUACAUGGGUCUCCUCUUUGUUCAGUCUUUCUUUAAUUGUUUUUGGUCCCAAGACCUCUUUCUCUCUUUCAUGUACCUUCAUUAUUCAUCUGUAAGAAAUUAUCAUACCUUCUCUUUCCCCACAUUAUACUUAAUUAAAUUUUGAAAUUGACGGGCUUGCGCAUCAUGUCCUUGUGUAGGGGAUUAGCAUUUU